CUUAAAUUUUCUAUCGCAUAAUGAGCCUAGCUGUCGUUCAAUUAUACCUGAAAGACAAGUUUUAUUUUGAAAGGGACGAUCUUAAGAGCAUGAGAAAACAGUGUGAGGAGAGCAAAGUGUUGGAGAGAAGUCCCUGAAGAAUGCACCCCCCGUCCCCGAAUAUCCACUCAUUGCUCAGCAUAACGAUACAUGAGGGCAGGACAAGUAACACACCCAAUGCGGCAUCUGUCAGGGUCAGGGCCUUUAUCACUUUCGCUAAAAAAGCAACGAAAUUCUUAAUUCAAUUUAACAAAAUGGGAUUGUUCGAAUGAAAAUAAAACUUACCCGUUGCACUGUUGAGCUUUUUGGAACAUAUCCCGAUGAUGAGGAAUAGAUUUCCCAUUUCCGAGAAAACAAAGCUCAUGAGCAUAAAGCCUCCAAAGAAGUAGCGCCAUUCUCCUGAAUCGCCCUAGAUAAUCAGAAGAAAAUGAAAAAAAUUAGCACAGAUGAUACACUUCUUAGAUCAAGAAUUCAGUUCAAGAUUUUGUGCGAGAGGACAAGCCAAAAGUAGAGAAGGGUAAUUUGUUCACCUUAACAUAAGUUGUAAUGGAUUCACUUUGAUUCAUCCUGGAUUGAAAGUAAUGGCAUGGCUGAAGCUGAUUUGUGGACUUAUAUACUCUUGUUAGCUUAAAGGUGAAAAUUAAGAAGCCAAUGGAAGUCUUUGAAUUCCAAGUCCUCAUUGGCCAACAGAAUUUUCAAUGACAUUUUGUUUACAUGUAAAUAGAUAAUUAAACAUAUCAAUAAUUUGUUCUAUCUUACCACAAUAAACAUAUCUACAGGGUAUUUGUUUGUUAUGAAAUUCAGCUAAUUAUACACAAUGAUUGUGCAAUAGCUUUGUCAAUUUUACUGUAUAGAAUAUUUGUCUGUUAUAAAAAAAAAUGUAUUUGUACACGUAUCAUAAAUUGCAAUGCUUAUCGCACGUUACCUUUGUCAAUCGAAGGUAUAUCUGUAUAAAGUACAUGUAUC
rnacentral:sRNA from 1 species